UUUCCGUAGGUGAACCUGCGGAAGGAUCAUUACUGAGUGAGGGCCCUCUGGGUCCAACCUCCCACCCGUGUUUAUUAUACCUUGUUGCUUCGGUGAGCCCGCCUCACGGCCGCCGGGGGGCGUCUGCCCCCGGGCCCGCGCCCACCGAAGACACCUAGAACUCUGUAUGAAGAUUGCAGUCUGAGCAAAAACUAAAUAAGUUAAAACUUUCAACAACGGAUCUCUUGGUUCCG
rnacentral:misc_RNA from 1 species